rnacentral:rRNA from 1 species
UACAGGGGGUGCGAGCGUUAAUCGGAAUUACUGGGCGUAAAGCGUGCGUAGACGGUUACGUAAGUCGGAUGUGAAAGCCCCGGGCUCAACCUGGGAAUCGCAUUCGAGACUGCGUAGCUAGGAUGCGGAAGAGGGAAGCGGAAUUUCCGGUGUAGCGGUGAAAUGCGUAGAUAUCGGAAGGAACACCAGUGGCGAAAGCGGCUUCCUGGUCCAGCAUCGACGUUCAGGCACGAAAGCGUGGGGAGCAAACAGG